UUGGAGGCGGUUAAGCUCACGAGCUCCUGUGCUGAAAUUACUUUUAGCAACAGUUACUCUUUUAUGAUUGUUGACUUUUACUGGGGCCUGUUUUUCGCCAUUGUGGAAACAGUCUUCUAAGGGAAAAAAAAAAUAGAAAGGAACUGCGGAAACCAAUUGCAACCCCUUGCCUUCGCCCGGCUUGCGCGCGGGCUGGAGGCAAGGUGGGCGGAGUGGCGUGCCCCCCGAGCCUUAUACGGGCGGGGCGCGCGCCCGGGGGCGGGGCAAAGCGAGGCCGCGGCGGGAGCUCGAGUUCCGCCUGUGCCCGCACACCUCUCGCUCGCGGGCGGCUUUGCGGAGAAAACGUGGGAAAAGGCUCUCUUUUCCUCAUAAGCCUCACAUUUUAUGUCUCCUACCCCUCUGAAUCUACUGGCUUAUGCAACUGAUGUUCCUGCCACCUCUGCUGGAUGAUGGCAGCUGCAGCCCAUUGCUCUUUUUAAGCAAGCAUGCCAGAAAACUGGGAGAACCACAACUGCCCUUUUCAGAGCAACAGAAUCUUCUGGGUAGCUAACGCUCGGACUUCUUUCUAAAAGAGGAAAUUUGGACACAAAAACUGACGCCAGGGGGUGUGCACACACAGAGAAAAGACCAUGUGAAGAGGCAGCAAGAGUGCAGCCAUCUGCAAACCAAGGAGAGAGGCCUCAGAGGAAAUCAAUACUGUUGGCACUUGAUCUUAGACAUCCAGCCUCCAGAAGUUUGAGAAAAUAAAUGUCUGUUGU